rnacentral:rRNA from 1 species
AAAUUGAAGAGUUUGAUCAUGGCUCAGAUUGAACGCUGGCGGCAGGCCUAACACAUGCAAGUCGAACGGUAACAGGAAGCAGCUUGCUGCUUUGCUGACGAGUGGCGGACGGGUGAGUAAUGUCUGGGAAACUGCCUGAUGGAGGGGGAUAACUACUGGAAACGGUGGCUAAUACCGCAUAACGUCGCAAGACCAAAGAGGGGGACCUUCGGGCCUCUUGCCAUCAGAUGUGCCCAGAUGGGAUUAGCUUGUUGGUGAGGUAACGGCUCACCAAGGCGACGAUCCCUAGCUGGUCUGAGAGGAUGACCAGCCACACUGGAACUGAGACACGGUCCAGACUCCUACGGGAGGCAGCAGUGGGGAAUAUUGCACAAUGGGCGCAAGCCUGAUGCAGCCAUGCCGCGUGUAUGAAGAAGGCCUUCGGGUUGUAAAGUACUUUCAGCGGGGAGGAAGGUGUUGUGGUUAAUAACCACAGCAAUUGACGUUACCCGCAGAAGAAGCACCGGCUAACUCCGUGCCAGCAGCCGCGGUAAUACGGAGGGUGCAAGCGUUAAUCGGAAUUACUGGGCGUAAAGCGCACGCAGGCGGUCUGUCAAGUCGGAUGUGAAAUCCCCGGGCUCAACCUGGGAACUGCAUUCGAAACUGGCAGGCUUGAGUCUUGUAGAGGGGGGUAGAAUUCCAGGUGUAGCGGUGAAAUGCGUAGAGAUCUGGAGGAAUACCGGUGGCGAAGGCGGCCCCCUGGACAAAGACUGACGCUCAGGUGCGAAAGCGUGGGGAGCAAACAGGAUUAGAUACCCUGGUAGUCCACGCCGUAAACGAUGUCUACUUGGAGGUUGUGCCCUUGAGGCGUGGCUUCCGGAGCUAACGCGUUAAGUAGACCGCCUGGGGAGUACGGCCGCAAGGUUAAAACUCAAAUGAAUUGACGGGGGCCCGCACAAGCGGUGGAGCAUGUGGUUUAAUUCGAUGCAACGCGAAGAACCUUACCUGGUCUUGACAUCCACAGAACUUUCCAGAGAUGGACUGUGCCUUCGGGAACUGUGAGACAGGUGCUGCAUGGCUGUCGUCAGCUCGUGUUGUGAAAUGUUGGGUUAAGUCCCGCAACGAGCGCAACCCUUAUCCUUUGUUGCCAGCGAUUAGGUCGGGAACUCAAAGGAGACUGCCAGUGAUAAACUGGAGGAAGGUGGGGAUGACGUCAAGUCAUCAUGGCCCUUACGACCAGGGCUACACACGUGCUACAAUGGCGCAUACAAAGAGAAGCGACCUCGCGAGAGCAAGCGGACCUCAUAAAGUGCGUCGUAGUCCGGAUUGGAGUCUGCAACUCGACUCCAUGAAGUCGGAAUCGCUAGUAAUCGUGGAUCAGAAUGCCACGGUGAAUACGUUCCCGGGCCUUGUACACACCGCCCGUCACACCAUGGGAGUGGGUUGCAAAAGAAGUAGGUAGCUUAACCUUCGGGAGGGCGCUUACCACUUUGUGAUUCAUGACUGGGGUGAAGUCGUAACAAGGUAACCGUAGGGGAACCUGCGGUUGGAUCACCUCCUUA